CCUACGGGAGGCAGCAGUGAGGAAUAUUGGUCAAUGGCCGAGAGGCUGAACCAGCCAAGUCGCGUGAGGGAUGACGGCCCUACGGGUUGUAAACCUCUUUUGUCGGGGAGCAAAGAGAGUCACGUGUGGCUCAUUGAGAGUACCCGAAGAAAAAGCAUCGGCAAACUCCGUGCCAGCAGCCGCGGUAAUACGGAGGAUGCGAGCGGUAUCCGGAUUUAUGGGGUUAAAAGGGUGCGCAGGCGGAGGUGCAAGUCAGUGGUCAAAUUGCGGGGCUCAACCCCGUACUGCCGUUGAAACUGCAGCCCUUGAGUGCGCGAGAGGUAUGCGGAAUGCGUGGUGUAGCGGUGAAAUGCAUAGAUAUCACGAAGAACUCCGAUUGCGAAGGCAGCAUACCGGCGCGCAACUGACGCUCAUGCACGAAAGCGUGGGUAUCGAACAGGAUUAGAUACCCGAGUAGUC
rnacentral:rRNA from 1 species